CUGCAGGUCGACGAUUAGAGUUUGAUCCUGGCUCAGGACGAACGCUGGCGGCGUGCCUAAUACAUGCAAGUCGAACGAACUCUGGUAUUGAUUGGUGCUUGCAUCAUGAUUUACAUUUGAGUGAGUGGCGAACUGGUGAGUAACACGUGGGAAACCUGCCCAGAAGCGGGGGAUAACACCUGGAAACAGAUGCUAAUACCGCAUAACAACUUGGACCGCAUGGUCCGAGCUUGAAAGAUGGCUUCGGCUAUCACUUUUGGAUGGUCCCGCGGCGUAUUAGCUAGAUGGUGGGGUAACGGCUCACCAUGGCAAUGAUACGUAGCCGACCUGAGAGGGUAAUCGGCCACAUUGGGACUGAGACACGGCCCAAACUCCUACGGGAGGCAGCAGUAGGGAAUCUUCCACAAUGGACGAAAGUCUGAUGGAGCAACGCCGCGUGAGUGAAGAAGGGUUUCGGCUCGUAAAACUCUGUUGUUAAAGAAGAACAUAUCUGAGAGUAACUGUUCAGGUAUUGACGGUAUUUAACCAGAAAGCCACGGCUAACUACGUGCCAGCAGCCGCGGUAAUACGUAGGUGGCAAGCGUUGUCCGGAUUUAUUGGGCGUAAAGCGAGCGCAGGCGGUUUUUUAAGUCUGAUGUGAAAGCCUUCGGCUCAACCGAAGAAGUGCAUCGGAAACUGGGAAACUUGAGUGCAGAAGAGGACAGUGGAACUCCAUGUGUAGCGGUGAAAUGCGUAGAUAUAUGGAAGAACACCAGUGGCGAAGGCGGCUGUCUGGUCUGUAACUGACGCUGAGGCUCGAAAGUAUGGGUAGCAAACAGGAUUAGAUACCCUGGUAGUCCAUACCGUAAACGAUGAAUGCUAAGUGUUGGAGGGUUUCCGCCCUUCAGUGCUGCAGCUAACGCAUUAAGCAUUCCGCCUGGGGAGUACGGCCGCAAGGCUGAAACUCAAAGGAAUUGACGGGGGCCCGCACAAGCGGUGGAGCAUGUGGUUUAAUUCGAAGCUACGCGAAGAACCUUACCAGGUCUUGACAUACUAUGCAAAUCUAAGAGAUUAGACGUUCCCUUCGGGGACAUGGAUACAGGUGGCGCAUGGUUGUCGUCAGCUCGUGUCGUGAGAUGUUGGGUUAAGUCCCGCAACGAGCGCAACCCUUAUUAUCAGUUGCCAGCAUUAAGUUGGGCACUCUGGUGAGACUGCCGGUGACAAACCGGAGGAAGGUGGGGAUGACGUCAAAUCAUCAUGCCCCUUAUGACCUGGGCUACACACGUGCUACAAUGGAUGGUACAACGAGUUGCGAACUCGCGAGAGUAAGCUAAUCUCUUAAAGCCAUUCUCAGUUCGGAUUGUAGGCUGCAACUCGCCUACAUGAAGUCGGAAUCGCUAGUAAUCGCGGAUCAGCAUGCCGCGGUGAAUACGUUCCCGGGCCUUGUACACACCGCCCGUCACACCAUGAGAGUUUGUAACACCCAAAGUCGGUGGGGUAACCUUUUAGGAACCAGCCGCCUAAGGUGGGACAGAUGAUUAGGGUG
rnacentral:rRNA from 1 species